rnacentral:tRNA from 3 species
AGGAGUAUAGUUUAGUGGUAAAACUUCGGUCUUCAAAACCGACAUCGGGAGUUCGAUCCUCUCUACUCUUG